UUCGGCGGGGGAGUACACUGGCGGACGGGUGAGUAACACGUAGGCAACCUACCCCUAUGACCGGGAUAACCAUGCGAAAGCGUGGCUAAUACCGGAUGUGGUCAUGCUGACGCCUGUUGGCAUGAUUAAAGGCUGGUUCUCAUUAGGGGGCUAGCGCAUAGGGAUGGGCCUGCGUCCCAUUAGCUAGUUGGUAGGGUAACGGCCUACCAAGGCGACGAUGGGUAGCUGGCGUGAGAGCGUGGCCAGCCACACUGGGACUGAGACACGGCCCAGACUCCUACGGGAGGCAGCAGUGGGGAAUAUUGGACAAUGGGCGCAAGCCUGAUCCAGCGACGCCGCGUGGGGGAUGAAGCUCUACGGAGUGUAAACCCCUGUCAGAGGGGAAGAAAGUCGUGUGUUCGCAAGGGCACACGUUUGACGGUACCCUCAGAGGAAGCUCCGGCUAACUCCGUGCCAGCAGCCGCGGUAAUA
rnacentral:rRNA from 1 species